rnacentral:rRNA from 1 species
UACGUAGGGGGCAAGCGUUGUCCGGAUUUAUUGGGCGUAAAGAGCUCGUAGGCGGCUUGUCGCGUCGACUGUGAAAACCCGCGGCUCAACUGCGGGCCUGCAGCCGAUACGGGCAGGCUAGAGUGCGGAAGGGGCUACUGGAAUUCUCGGUGUAGCGGUGAAAUGCGUAGAUAUCGAGAGGAACACCUGCGGCGAAGGCGGGUAGCUGGGCCGACACUGACGCUGAGGCGCGAAAGCCAGGGGAGCGAACGGG